GGGCCAUCAUGGUGAGGGCUUCCUGGGCAGGAUGCUGGACUGCAAUGCCCAGAAUGCCUGGGGCCCGCUUCCCCAGAGGCCUCUGCAGCCGGCCGCUUGGGUUUCCCCCACAGUUGGGCAUAGAGGUAGGGAGGCUGGUGUGCUGUGUGGAGUGAUGGCCAGCUGCAGGUGGCCAGCUAGGGCUGACUGGGACAGGCGUUUUCAUUCCUCUGCCUGCUCUACGGGCUGCAGCUGUGCUUAGAGGGUCUGAGUGUAGAGGAUGGCGCCUAGGAAGGUGGUCUCCUUAACUCUUUCUCCUGAACGUCAGCGGGCAGUGAUGUCACUGAUGGGUACAAAUGGACAUCAGAUGUAGCAGUGAAACAGAUUUCACUAGGUAGCUACUGAAGGUAGAGGAAAGAGCCGAGUUCCAUUAUGAUCUGCACAGAGGUAAUUGGGGCAUAAUAAAGGGGGAAGGAGGGACGAGUUCGAGCUUGGGACUCAGUGAAGUAAAAAGUAGAGUCAUUGUGAAUGCAGUUAGGCCAGCUGUGUUGGUGGCAGUGGUCUAAGAAUUCUGUCUUCCCUCAGAGACUGGGAGAGAGAACCUGUCCUGCUGGAUGAUUAUAUUUCAAGGCUGUUCUUCCCUCACCCCUUUAAAGGGCCAGCUUGGGCCCAGUGGACAAAGGUGAGAUGCCUUGACCAGGUGGAACAUCCUCUUCUUUGCCUCCUGAGAUUAAAAGGGACAUCUUUGCUGUUACAAGCUGUGAAAGGCUGGGAGGUGGGGUUGAAGGACAGGUAAGCGGUGGGAUUUGUCUAGUUCUGUGCUUUCUGGGACCCAGAAACAGCAAGGUGUGGGAAGUGACCACCUGGCAGUGGUGAGGGCCUGUGAGGUGCCCUGCUCCUGCCCCCUCCCUAUGUGAGGUAACCUUGGGGAGACAGGUAUCUGCAGAGGGUGGAGCAGAAUGUGCCUGUGUCAUUCUCCUAGGGCUGCCUAGCAAAGUGCCACCAACUGGGUAGCUUAGACACACAGAGACUUGUGACCUCAGACUCUGAAGUGCAGAGCUCUGGAAUUGAGGUGUCGGCCGCAUUCCCCGGGAUGGUCUCCCUGCAGCUGCUCUAGUUUCCUGGGUUUGGCAGCAGAGCUCCAGACUCCAAAGGGUGUGUUUCCUGGGUCUGAUUCCUCCUGUUUAUAAGACACAAGGCUAUGCAGAUUUUUUUUCUAUACAUUUUACAACUUUGCACUUGAAAAUUUGACUUUAUGGAUUAUUUUGAAUAGCUUUUUGGGUGAGCCAUAAAGAUUGCGUUCGAGUUUCACGUGGUUCAUUUUUAUUUUCCCAACUGUUCUGCAGCCAUUUGUGGUUACAGAUUUGUUUUCUCUCCAUCGAGUGGCCUUUGUGCCUUUGAGAGGACCACUUGACUGGUUUUACAUGGGUCUUUCUGUGUAGAGAAUCAGAAGUAACUGCGUUACUAUUACUGCAACAUUUGGCAUAGUCGGCAGGACUUGCAUUUUCAAAUGCUAAUGUUUCCAAUAAUACCUUUGCUAUUUGAUCUUGACCCAUUGCCCUCAUUACAAAAGUACGCGGCCUUGCAAGAAAAUCAGUGUAAGAUUCAGUAGCCCCUUGUAUAGUUUUAGUAAGGAAGGUUGUGCCUGACCAGUGGGUAUCACACAUCUUUAAGCUCUUAAACCUGUCGAACUUGUUGAAGAUCCUGAUCUGUAUAUUGAGCCUGUCUCUAAAGGCACAGUAAUUACCCUCCUCCAUUAACUUAUCCUCCAUAGGUCCCUGGGGAUUUUGAAGGUUUUGUUGUCUAGUUAUAGGAAACAAAUGUGGUGGAUCAACAAAAGAACCAGGAGGAGCUGCAAGAUCAUCAUCAUCAUGUAUCAUAGUAAGAGGAAAUGAAAAAUGUUGUUGUUCUCUACCCACAUCAGCUCUAUACUCUGUCAUUGGAAAGAGAGAAGCAUUAGAAGGAGUAGUAGGUUUAAGAGAGGACCUUUGCUUUUUUAAUCUCAUUUUAUCCACAAAGGCCUCCAUAAUUUCUUUCAUAUUGGAGUCACUAUCUGAACUUUUUGAAUCUUCCUCAUCGCCCAGAUCUGAUUUAGGAGAGUCAUCUAUAGUAUCACAAAUAUCUUCCUUGGGCUCCGUUUUGUUAACCUUAUUAUCAGAUUCUGAUGUAUAAACUUGUCUUUUACAAAGAGAGCCCUUUUCAUUAUUGCUUUCUAAUAAUUGCAAUGCCUGAGUAAUAGUGCCACACAAUGUCCAAAUCUUCAAAGAAAUAACAUUCCCAGCCUGAUGCUGCUUAUGGAGCUCUUUCUGAACCAAUUUCCAUUCCCCUAAAUUUAACUGGACCUUAGUUUGAUACUGGAACCAGUGACAAUGACAUUCUAUAAUUUUAAAUAACUCCUUGAGUCUCUUAUGAGAUGUUUUCGCACCUAUGGAAUAUAAUAAUCCUUGUAGUAACUCCACAUAUUGUUCCUUUAAGGACUGGGAGUUUCCCAUGUUAGUUCUGAAAGUCCCCCUAAAGUCUCUUUCAACCCGGGGCGAUACCUUUCGAUAUUUUGUUAAUCCCGAAAGUCCCCCUAAAGUCUCUUUCAACCCGGGGCGAUACCUUUCGAUAUUUUGUUAAUCCCAAAAGUCCCCCUUUCGUUUUGUUAACCCGGGGUAUGUUGAGCUCUGCUCUUUGUUAAGAACAGAUAAUAAAAUUUUUCUUAGCGCCCUCCUAGCCCACUUGGCAGAACAUCCCAUCCUUGUCGCCAAUGGGUCAAGAUCAAGUAGCAAAGGUAUUAUUGGAAACAUGUAUGUGGAAUGUCAUACUUUUGUAAAAAUGAAUGUAAUUUUUGUGAGGUAUAUGCAGGUGCAUUGUCAGUUUUAAGUUCCUUAGGAAUUCCCAUGAUAGCAAAACAAGAUAAUAAAUGAGAAAUGAUUGCAUCAGCUUUUUUUUUUUUUAAGAUAAACUGUGGCCCAUAGAAAAUGAGUAUGAGUCUCAAUAGUAUGAUGUACAUACCUUAGUUGUCCAAAUGACUGAAUUAUAACAACAUCCAUUUGUUAAAGGGCAAUAGGAUGGAGUCCCCUUGGAUUAACACCAGGAGGACAGUAAGGAAUAUUAAAAGGAGCACAUGAUGAACCGUUAUUUUGUAUUUUUUAUAAAGUCCUUUAGUGUUUGUAUGAUGUAAAGCAUGUUCUAGAUGAGCCUUUUGUAAGGGGAAUAAUAGUUGAUCAAUAUUCUGAUUUUUUUUUUUUAGUUAAUUGUCCUGGGAGUGUAGAAUGUGCUCUAAUAUGAGUAAAAUAUACUGAAAUUUGGCCUACUAUUUUUGUUGUUAUUUUUACAUGUAGUGAGAUAGGACAUAGAGUCUUAUCUUAGGUAAGUAGGGCUCUUUAUAAAUUUUAAGUAAACUGUUGUAGUUUUAAAGUUUGUUUUUGUUUUUUUAAAAUAUUAUAUUAUAAAUUUUAUAUAAAUAAUUGUUUAAGUUUAUUUGAGUAAAAACUAACACAUGUUAUUUCAUGUUUCAUCUAAAACAUGAAAUAAAGAAAGGCUGAAAGCCUUUAGCUUUUUUUAGAAAAAUAGAAAAAUGUUCUUGUGUUUUAUAAUAUUAACCUUUAUGUAGAUAAGGCUCUCAUUAACUUAAAAAAUACAUUUAAAUUGUACCUCAGUGUAAAAAGUAACAUAAAACUCUAUAUAUCUUAUUGAUAAUUGGCCCAGUUAUAGAACAUUAAAUGAUAUAAAUAAAUCUCCAAUAUGUUAUUUUUAUGAGCCUAAAAUUACCAUGCAACCUUUUGGAGAACACCAGCUUGAUAUAAUUUUUUUUAAAGCUUUUAUCUUAAUGACUUAUAUACCUGGAAAAUAUGAACACAUUUAAUAUACAAAGAAGAGUAAUAGUACCAUAAUUACUAUUGAUGUUUUUAUAUUAAUUAAGUUUAGCUCUUAAAGAAAUAACAUAUUAGAAUAUUGCAAAAUAACAGUUGUUGUUUAACCAUAGUUGUAUAAUCCUUAAUUUUUUUUAGAUUAUUUGUUCAAAAAUUUACAUAUAUAGCCAACGUACACAGACCUUCUUUAUCACUUACUUAAAACUAUAUAGCCAACAUACAUAGACCUUCUUUAUCACUUGCUUAAAUCCUUUUAUUUACUCACUUCCAGAAACACAUUUUUUUUAUUAAAUCCAUACUUAGAACCUUUUAAUUUUUUUUUGUUAACCCCCUCUUUAUUUACACUUUGAAAUAAUCCUUGUAAAUUUUUGAAUUUAGGCAAAUUAUUCCAUUUUAAUAAGAGAUAUUUUGUUAUUUGUAGUACACAAUUAAUCACAUUUGUUUACCAUAUUAUGAAAAUAUAGUGUCUAAAUAUUAGGGAUGAUAAAGCAACCAUUUAUUUAUUUAUUUAUAUUAUUUACCAACUUAAAAAAUUAUUAAUAAUGUCAUCUAAUGUAAUUUAAGGAGUUAAAAGCAUUUAAUUGUAUAUUUAACAUUUAGCAUAUUAACCUUGUAAAUUAAUCAGAUACUUAACAAAAGUACUCAUAAACAAGUAAUCUUAUGUCUAAUUAAUUUACUUAUUUUAUCAAAACAUUAGACAAGUAUAACAAACAGUCUUAGCCAUUUUUUGUUGUUGUUGUUGAAGAAAAGUCCUAGAACCAAAGCACAUCAGUCAUUAACAUGUUAAAGACAUCUUAUUUUUUAUCUGUUUACCCAAUGUAAAUUGAACCAUUUAAAUCAGUGAAUUAAAAAUAUUUGGAUCCUUUUUUUAAAUUUUUAUGAGCGCUCUUUACAUAUAUAUCAAUCUUUAUGUCAUGUACAUGAUAUAUGGACAUACGCACAGACAUACAACGUAUAAUACAAAUGUGCACACAUAACACAAUAAAGGCCUUGUAGCAAUUUUAGGUGAAAUUUCCAUUGUAAUGUUUAAAUAUUCCACAGUUGAUCAAAAAUAGAACUGAUCAGAAAAACAUUAACUUAGGUCUGUAGGAUCAAAAUUAUGAGCUCAAAAAAUACAGAAUCUAGGAAAAAGCAAGAGUCCUAGAAAAAAUGACCAGCCGGUAAUUAGAAAGUAUCACAAAAAUUAUUUAUUUUAUUUUAUUUAUUUAUUUAUUUUUUACAAUCCCUUUUAAAAUGACCUGCUUUUCCACAAUUGAAACAAGUUCCUGAUUUAUUGGGUUUAAGGGCUCCAGCCAUGGCUGCAGCAAAAACAGAAGCUUUGAUGUUCAAUUCCUCCCACUCCAGCACAAGCUUUCACAUAUUCACUCAAUGAGGCUUUUUGCCCUUUUAAUGGCUCCAAAAUAUGCUUACAUUCAGGAUUUGCAUUUUCAAAUGCUAAUGUUUCCAAUAAUACCUUUGCUAUUUGAUCUUGACCCAUUGCCCUCAUUACAAAAGUACGCGGCCUUGCAAGAAAAUCAGUGUAAGGUUCAGUAGCCCCUUGUAUAGUUUUAGUAAAGGAAGGUUGUGCCUGACCAGUGGGUAUCACACAUCUCUAAGCUCUUAAACCUGUCAAACUUGUUGAAGAUCUGGAUCUGUAUAUUGAGCCUGUCUCUAAAGGCACGGUAAUUGAUGUAGAGAAUCAGAUGUAACUGCAUUACUAUUACUGCAACAUUUGGCGUAGUCGGCAGGAUUUGCAUUUUCAAAUGCUAAUGUGUUGCAGUAAUAGUAACGCAGUUACAUCUGAUUCUCUACAUUUCUGGGCUCAUUCUUCUUUUCCUUUUGUCUAUUUCCAAUGCCUUUCCCACUGCCACACUCUGGGAUCACUGAAGCUUUAUGAUAAGUGCUGGAACCAGAUGUGCAGAGUCUUGAACUAUUUUUAAAAUAUCUUUAUUUUGUUUGUUUAUUUUUAUGUGGUGCUGAGGAUCCAACCCAGUGCUUCACAUGUGCGAGGCAAGUGCUCUGCCACUGAGCCACAUUCCCAGCCCCCUUUUGAGCUAUUUUUGAUCAUUCCUUUGCCAUAUCUUCUAGCUCAGCAUUUGCAGGUAUCUUCUGUGGUGCUGUGAUUGGGAUUCUGCUGCAUCUAAAGAUCAAAUGAGAAAGAAGUAUCUUCCCAACAUUAAUGGUUGAAUUGAUUCCGAGCAAAGAAAAUCACCGCACUUAUUUAUGUUUCUUUUCAUUCCUUUCAACCAUGUUCAAAGUUCUCUGAAUGCAUAUUUGUAUAUGUGUUGUCAGAGUAACCCUUCAGUAUUUCAGGAGAGCUAUUUUUUUUUAAAAAAUUCAAAUUCCAGUAAUUCCCGUGUGGCCUACAUAUAGCACACCAGUUUCCUCUUGUCCCUUAGCCGUCUGCUUUCCCUCUUGAUAUUUCCAUAUGACUUGGGCUGUUUUCUGUUGCUGUAUCUGCUCAACUGAGGCUGAGUCAUUCAUUAAGAAGCCAUUUUUAGUGCUGGGGAUGUAGCUUAGUUGGUGGAGUGCUUGUCUCACAUGCACAAAGCCCUGGGUUCAAUCCCCAGCACCAAAAGAAAAAAAAAAAAGCUAUUUUUAAUUUAAGGUGUGUAGAGAGUCCCAGGUCAGGGGCUGCAUCUGUUGAAGGCCUCUUCUGGAGGGGACUCUGCCAUAUCCUGAGGCACGGCAUGAAGAGACCAGCUGGCUUUUGUAGCAAAUCUGUUCCCUUGACAACUCACUGAUCCACUAAUUAAUUAAAUAAGUAAUGUUUGUGGUGGUGGGGAUUGGACCCCAGGUCGUGUGCAUGUGAAAAAGCACUCUACCCACUGAGCCUUCAAUCCAUUCAUUUACGAAUGGAUAAAUCACUCAUGAGGGCCGAGUGCUCAGGCCAGUCAGUCCUCAGAGUUCCCCUUACUGCUCCCACAUCACAUCAUAUGAAUUCUGGAUGGCAAAAUUCAAACCAUAGCACCAUCAAAGACAAUCCAGGAACAGAAUUCACUUGUGAUAUUUUUCCCCAUGUUUUCUUUAUUUUCAUAUCAAUUCCUUCUCAUUAAAUACCUGCCUAUUGGCCCCGUCCAGCAAGUGUCCUCCACUACAAAGUCCCAGAGAUGAGUCAGCUGGUCCCUGAUAAUAGAAGGCAACCAAAUGACGACAUGAAUUUAUAUGUUCAGAGGACAGAGGAACGUCUCUUCUUGAACAAGAGGAGGCUGACAAAGAUCCUCUGCUUGGCCACACUUCUGCAGACUCCUGGACCCUCUCCUGGGCUUGCUGCUGCCCCACCUUGUAAACUUCAGUGCCUGGAGAGCACCCUGCUCAACAGUUUAGCAAGGACACCCCCUCCCCAGUAUCGGAUCAGGCUCCUCAUCCUCUGCCAUCCCUGGUGACAUCUGGCUACCCUGGCUGUCUCCAGAAGCAUCCUGUUUGGUGGGUUUAGCAAGGACAACCCUUCCCCAGCAUAUAGGGCCCUGAUUAAACCCUCUGCUUUAAUGGGUAAUUAUUUCCCUAAUGCUGCAAGGCAGGAGAUUGUCCGCAGACACCAGAAGCUGAAGAGGCAAGGAAGGACCCUCCCAACAGCUGUCAGAGGGAGAAUGGCCUUGCUGACCCCCUCAUUUGGGGAUUCUGGCCUCCAGAAUGGGGAGAUCGCAGGUUUGUGUUUUAAGUCACACUUAUUUCUGUGCUGUGUUUUGUUGGUCCUGGAAAUGGACCCACUGGCUCUCCCUGUGCUAAAGAUAUCUGCUCCUCCCAGUGCACCUUGCAAAUCACCUCAGCAUUAAGGAGACUGUUCUGAAUUUGAAGCUGAGGAGGCAUCCUGGAGCAGUUUGGCUUUGGUUAGGGGAGGGACCACGGAAAGUGGCCAAGGCAUUUGGAGGGCUGAGUUGAAAGACCACAGGGCAGGUCAGGGGCAUGUGGCAGGAAAGGAGCUGUGUCAGUUUUGAGCCCCUCAGUUCUCCUGUUCUGAGCUCAGGCCAUUCACCGCUGUGCCUGGGGACAUUUCUGUGUGACAGCUCUCAGCUCAGGGAUGAGCAUCAGAUCCAAGACCAGACUGUGCUCUUCCUCGGUGGGCAGCAAAGUCCAUGCCCUGAGCGUUGGGCAUUGCUCCCUUCCAACCCUCUUGUUCUUCUGAGGGAGACCUCAGCACAUUCUAGUCCUUCUAUGCUGGGGUGCAGAGUCCUGAUUCCAGCCCCUCCAGCAGCACAGGAAGGGGUGCAGUGACAGAGGGAGCGACACCUCUAUCCGGUGGCCUGGAUGGUCCCUCUGCCCUCCCUGAGCCAGGCUGGGCCUUGGCCUAUUGUGUGAAUGUUAAUAGAAAUACAGCAUCACUUCUUAAUAUUCUUAAAAGAAAAAGGUGUUUUUAGAAAAAAAAAAUUUCCAUAGAAGGAAAGUGAGGAUCUAGGAUUCGUCUGGAGGAGUGGGGUGCACUCCUUCCCUGACUGGCACCCCAAGUGGACACACAAACACAAAUACAAGUGUAGACAUGUGUGUAGGUGCACACAUACAAGACACCCUCACAGCCUUCCCCAUCAACUCUGUUACACAUCCCCAUGACACACCCAUGCACCUCUGCGUGCCUUUACAUACGUACACCCACCCCCAUCCCUGUCUGGCUUGCACCUCUGAGGCUGCAGAUUGGAGGAAACUAGGAGAGGAGCCAGGAGAAGCCGAGGAGGAGCCUGGCAGCAGACAGAGGGAGCAUGUGGUCAUGCACAUCUUCUAGAGUUUUGCAGUUUCGCAUUGUAAACGCAAGUCUAUGGAGUAUUUUGACAGGUUCUGGGCUCCAGUUGUGUGCCUUCUUGAGGUGCGUCUGGAUCCUAGGUUCAGAAACAGCUUGCUGGGAAUUUCACUUGGAAUCACUGAAUCUGCAGAGGAGGUUCAUCUUAACGACACUGAGACCUGAACAAGGAAUAUCUCUGCAUUUAUUUAUAUUGCAUUUGAUUUCUUUCUACGUUUCAAGAUUUUCUGGAAGUAGGUACUUUAAUUUUGGGGGGUGCUAUUUUACAUGUGAACACAUUUAAAAUGCUCUUAUUCCAGUUUACACAUUCCACUCUUUCCUCUACAUGAUGCUACUAUAUAGGAAAUCAGUGGAAUUUUGCCUAGGGGCCAUGUACUUUGCAGCUUUCUAUCUCCAUCCAUUGUGCCCAAGACAUAGGAAGGGCUCUAUUUUUUUUUUUUUUUUUUAGAUUUAUAGUUGUAGAUGUCUUUAUUUACUUAUCUUAUUUAUAUAAUGCAGUGCUGAGGAUCAAACCCAGUGCCUCACAUGUGCUAGGCCAGAGCUUUGCCACUGAUACCCCCCCAUCCCUCUUUCUAUUUGAUUUAUGAAAUUAUGACCAGAAAUCAUCAGAACUAUGAAUUUCAGAGCUUCACUGUUGACUGGCACUAGGGUGCGCAGAGGCAGCUCUGAAGGCUGAGCCUCCGGCGCCCUGCGCCCAUGGCGGCCAGCAGGGGGCGCGCAUAACUGUCUCCCACCACCUGCUUUUGGGGGGUCCUGUUCUGUGUCCUCUGCAAGUUUCCUUCUCCUGGGGACCCAGGUGGGAGAUGCCCUAAGGUGAAGAGGCCCUAAGGUGAGGAGCAGAGGUUCAUUACCCUGGGGACCCUCUUGGGGAGACAUCAUGACCUCGGGAUGCCUGGUAACUCUGUCUAUGGUGAGGACAAGAACUUCCUUACCCUGGGGACCCUCUUGGGGACACACCAUGACCUGGGGAUGCCUGGGGGCUCUGUCUAAGGUGGGAACCAGGGCUUCCUUCUCCUGGGGACCCUCUUGGGGAGACAUCAUGACCUGGGGAUGCCUGGGGGCUCUGUCUAAGGUGGGGACCAGGGCUUCCUUAUCCUGGGGACCCAUGUGGAGAGACACCAUGGCCUGGGGAUGCCUGGGGGAUAUGUCUGUGGUGAGGUCCAGGGCUUCCUUCUCCUUGGCAAUGGAGACUCCACUGUGGAUUCAGGAUGACCGAGGUCCAGGUGAGGAAAACAUGAGGAAGAAGCUUCCUGGGCACUGCCUGUGUGCUGAGGAAGAAGUUCUGCCAUGUCCUUUGCUUUCCCAGGUAAUAUUUCAGCAGAACUUCUUUUACAACAGUAUUCCUCACUGAGGGUUUGGCUGCUCAUCAUUAUGUCACUUCAGUGUGUUUUGUGUGGCCUGAGUGUAUUUUGGGGAGAAAUCCAAGGGCACAGGAGAAACACAGAUGGCCACUCAAGAUGGUGCAGGGAGGCCCAGUGCCUGGAGUCCCACUGGGGCCUGAGGGGACCUCAUUGCUUGCUCUUAUUCAUGUUUUAAUGAGUGAAUUUUUCUUAUAUGUUUAAGUACUUGAGAAAUAUUGAGAAGUUGAUGUGUUAAAAUUCAAAGUUACGUUAAGUGUAAAUAUUGUAUUUGUGUCGGUUACAAGAAGAACCUUGUGGUGGCGUUAUAGACCAGGGGUGGAGUGCUCCAUCCCAGGCACUCUGAGAUGAAACCAAAUGAAGAAGCAAAACACAGACUUGAAGAUCUACAGUGUAAAUUAACCACAAGUAAAGGAGGACUUCAGAUGUAUGAAUUUAGUGUACUGCAUGCUCCUAUUAGAACCUCAUUUGUCAUUGUCUAAAAUUUAUUUGAAAUAGCUGGAGAAAUCUGUGUAUCAGUUGGGUAUUAGAUAUUAAAGGAUUAUGAUUAUCUUCAACUGUGGCUGUAUUAAAGACUUCUUUCCAUUA